AUAAUUAUCCUAACAAAUUGAUAAUUAUCUGAGAUAUGAAAUAUUAAUAAAACCAAUUCAUAAAAACACCAAAGUCGGUUUAACCAAAGCAAUGACAUAAUCCUGUCACAAACCCUAUCAAUCUAUAUCUGCUACCAUAAAAAACCAAGACUUUAUAUCAUUAAAUACAAACCCUUUUCCCUAAAUCCAAUUAAAAUUAUAUGAAAAAAAUCCAAAAACACUGUUAUCAUCAUCAAAAGAAUCCCAUACGGUAUCCGACGGAGGUAGCUUCUUCUUCCAUACGGAAUCCGACUAAGCAUCUGAGGAUCGAACCAUUAAGAACACUGAUGUUGCAAAUCUUUGGCGGCGUUAGGUGGUGCAGAAAAGAGGGAUUGAAGAAUAAGAAAGAGUUCUUAUGCGCUGUCACCAAAUGAAAGGAAUAAUUUCCCUUUCGAUACCAAAUCUCCAACACAACAAUCUUUUUAUUUGUUCCAUCACCGCCUACGAAAAUCCCGAUUCGAAAACCCUAACUUACAAUCAUGGUCAUGGAGAAGGAAAAUGUAACGCCCCCACCCGCCCACGGCUAAUAGGCCACCCACGCCCGCUCACUCGGCCCGCGGACCCCAUCCCCAUCCGACGUGUGGUGCAUUAAUUUUCCAUGGCUCGAAAUCAUUGUUUACUGACUCUGCAAUCACCACAUGAUCUUUCCCCGUGCUUUGGCCUCACUCGCACGCUAUCGCGAAUCACUUCCCGAUAGGUCAUCCAUCCUUUCACUACUCCAGCUCAAGCACGCUUAACUCUGAAGUUCUAAACGGAUGUGUGACGGAAAAGGUAAGUCAACUUUGGUGACAUAGGUAGCCAAAUCAAUUCUCUUAAGCCUUUUCACAUAUCACAACUCGGGAUGUUACAAUUCACCCCCUCUCAAAGAACGCAACGAGGACGUUGCGCUCCACGACAGGUCUCAAGACGCCCUCCCCCAUCCGACGUGUGGUGCAUUAAUUUUCCAUGGCUCGAAAUCAUUGUUUACUGACUCUGCAAUCACCACAUGAUCUUUCCCCGUGCUUUGGCCUCACUCGCACGCUAUCGCGAAUCACUUCCCGAUAGGUCAUCCAUCCUUUCACUACUCCAGCUCAAGAUCCCCUUUUCAUUUUAUUUUGUCCCACAUUGGAAGUUUAGAAAACCUUCCUCCAUUCCCUUCUCCUAUAUAAGGAACUCUACCCUUUCUUUUCAUUCUCAUCAAGUCAAAGUAUUUCUUUGCACGUGACGAGUUGUUGUUGAAUUAUCUGACGACCAGUCGCUAGUGAAUUUUUCCGGUGGGAUUUCCGGGUGAAGAACUGAGAUGGCUAACCAGCUCUGAUACCACUUGUAACGCCCCACCCGCCCACGGCUAAUGGGCCACCCACGCCCACUCACUCGGCCCGUGGGUCCCAUCCCCAUCCGACGGGUGGUGCAUUAAUUUUUCAUUGCUCGAAAUCAUUGUUUACUGACCCUGCAAUCACCACAUGACCUUUCCCCGUGCUUUGGCCUCACUCGCACGCUAUCGCGAAUCACUUCCCGAUAGGUCACCCAUCCUUCCACUACUCCAGCUCAAGCACGCUUAACUCUAGAGUUCUUUCAGGAUGUGUUCCAGAAAAGGUAAGUCAAUUUUGGUGACAUAGGUAGCCAAAUCAAUUCUCUUAAGC
rnacentral:lncRNA from 1 species